rnacentral:lncRNA from 1 species
CAGCUGCACGGAAGCAGCAGACCCGGCGUGCCGCCGGCUCCGCGCGGGAGGAACAAAGUCUAUUUCGGGGAGAAAAAAAAAAAAAAAAACCCCGUGCCUCUCCCCUGUGUGCCUCUCCUCCCCCGCCCGCUUGACCCCCCGCCGCCCAGGGCUCCAGGAGCGCCUCCAGCCCGCCCAGCGCCGGAGCCCAGCCGGGAGCGAUCUCCCCGCGGAAGCGCUGCGAGUUCGGGGGCGCGGAGCACCCCUCACACACCCCCCCCACCCCCCAGCGCUUACCUGCGGGGAGGAGCGGGGCGUCCGCCGCUCUCACGGCGGGGAGCGCUGCGGGGCUGCGCGGCGCGGGGAGGAGGACAUGGGGCCGCUCCGGUGAAGAGGCGGCUGGAUCGGGCUCAGGCGGAGGCUCCUCUCGCCCGUCCCCAUCCGCGGCGAGGCUCGGGCGGAGGCAGGCAGACGGCGGGGCGGUCACUGCCGCCCGGAGAAGGACGCCCGCCGACCGGGGGCUGCGCGCCCCCCCUCCGCCGCCGCGCGGACAGCCGGAGGCGGCCGCCCGCUGCUCGCCCCGCGGCGACGGGCGGGUGCCAUAGCAGCGGGGCCGGGGGCGUGGGCGGGCGGCGGCCACCAGAAACUUUGCCGGCCCCGCGGAAAGGCGCUCGGCCGCCCCACGCCGGUCCCCGCCGCAAAGUUUCACUCCCCGAGCCGCCGGCUGCGGGUCCGACACCUUGGGGACGGCCCCUCCAUCUCCCGCCGCUCCUCACGGGACGAGGAGGAAGGAAAAAGGGGCAGGCAGCACGCGGCGGGACGGCAGCGAGGCUGGGGCAGAACUUUCCUUCUCCUCUCAGAAGAACGCAGCCACCCCCCAAGAGAAGCGUCCCCUCCUCCCAGCGCCGCUCUGCCGCCCGCCCCGCCGGGCGCGGGCUUUGUAGGGCGUCCGGUUCCGCCCCGGCGGGCUGCGGGGCCGCGGCCGCGAGGGAGGAGCCGCGGGGCGGGGGCUCGGAAGUCGGGGCCGGGAGGUUCGCCGUGCUCGGGUGGGUGAGGGGUCAGAGCUGGGUGAUUCACUGCGGUGGGUUUUGCCUCAGAGCUCAGGGACGAGAACACUUCUGUUAUUCAGCUCUUUUCUUUUUAUUCCUUUUUUUUUUUUCUUUUUUCUUUUUUUAUUUCUGUUUUCUUUUUUUUCUUUCUUUUUUUCUGCUUAUUUGUUGUUGUCCGCCUGCUCCUAGUGUCCAGCCCGGGACACUUUGGCUACCGGCUGCUCGCAUCUCCCGACCACGCGAGAUACAGCCAGCGGAUGGGAUCGGCGAGGGGAGGACUCCUACUUGCACGGGAUUUUACCCAGCGUGUACAUCGGGCGUAUCUCGUGGGGAAAAAAAAAAUGCACCUGUUUAG